rnacentral:rRNA from 1 species
CCCACGCCGGAAGACCAAGGUUUCCUGUCCCAUGCUAAUCAGGGCAGGGUAAGUCGGCCCCUAAGGCGAGGCAGAAAUGCGUAGUCGAUGGGAAACGGGUUAAUAUUCCCGUACCUUGGAUAGCUGCGAUGGAGAGACGGAGAAGGCUAGGUGAGCCGGGCGACGGUUGUCCCGGUUUAAGCGAGUAGGGAGUGGACUUAGGCAAAUCCGGGUCCACAAUCUCGAGACGCGACGACGACCGCUCUUAGAGCGGGAAGUCAUUGAUGCCAUGCUUCCAGGAAAAUCUUCUAAGCUUCAGGCUAUUCGAGACCGUACCCCAAACCGACACAGGUGGUCAGGUAGAGAAUACCAAGGCGCUUGAGAGAACUCGGGUAAAGGAACUAGGCAAAAUGGUGCCGU